AGUGUCCCCCGCGGGCGCCCGAGCACGGGCUGAGAUUGCGCUGAUGCUGUGCAAGCACCGUUUGAACCUGUCUGGUUAACACCAGCGAAGGAAGAGAGGAGCGCGAGCCUA
rnacentral:ncRNA from 17 species